ACCCAUGGGGGCCCCAAUGUCUACAGUUCUCAGCUCCCUAACUUCUUGGACUUGUUGGCACUUCUUAUUGAGACUCUUUCUCAGACAAAGGGAAAAAAGCACUUAACUCUACCUUCACAUCUCGAUGCAUGAUGCCCAAGUCAUGGAGAUAACACAGUACCAGCACCAACUCGGCAGCAAAGAGACGGAUGGAAGCCUCAGGAAAGCAGCCAACAGCCGACCAAAGGGAGUACAGAUCUGUGCUGCAGUAGCUACACACUGCAAAGCCAGUGUGGAGCUACAUACAUUGCCAGAAGUCUAGGCAAUGUUUGGGAGCUGCAAUGCCUGGGCUCAAGGCAUUGUAGGCCUCCUGCCCAAACUGAUACCACCUGCUGUUCCCCUCCCUUUGGGACAGAGAGGUGCCAUGAGAAGGGGGACAGAGCAAAGGCAGAACAAGCCAAAGAGGUAAUCUCAGGUGGGGAACAUGGUACAAAGACCCUGGGGGAUGAGGAGAGAGUCCAGUCACUCACUAAUGAAAAGGUGCCGUUUUCCCUGCCAGCUGUCCCCCAAGCUGUGUACAAAGGGAUGGUUGAUCUGUCGCUGGAUGCUAACCUCCUCUUUGCACUGCCUCACGGUAUCCCUCUGUAGGACCUUUACCUUGGGCACCACCUUCACUGCAAAUACAGCUUUCUGGGUGCAAUCUAGCACCUUGAGGACAGUUCCAAAGGAGCCUUUAGCCACGAGGCCUAAAAUCUUCAGCUGCUGCUGCCCCCUAAUGGGCCUAAUGGGAAACUCUGGUAGAAAGAGGUUGAUGAACUGAGGCACUGGCCACUCUGGCAGAGGCUUCUCUACCAGUACUGGGGCUGGCUUUAGGGAUUCCUGGUGCAGAUAGUGGUGCCCCCGUAGUUCCCAGAGUUCUUCCAGAUCUGACCUGAUGGUUCCCAAACCUGUCCAGAGGCUCUUCCAGCCUCGGGCCCAGGGACCCCGGAUGUUGCCACCCUGCUUGUGAGGGACAGCCACCCGGGUGUGUUCCCCCUGCUGGGUGUGCUGCCCCUGCCGACAGCUUACUGCUCCCAUUCCCAGCCUCUGCCUCCUCUCUCUGCUAAAUCUGCUGUCCCAGUUAUAUAAGCAAUUCCUCUCCCUGAUGCUGCGUGACACGAGCCCCGCCUCUUCCAGUCUGCAGAAACCCAUCAGCAUGGGGCCAGAGUCACACUAGGACUAGAAAUUUCUGUGAUACAGCUUCAGGGCAGAGGAAGGAAGGGGCCACCCUCAGAGUGGCAGCUGCAGGAUGUUCUGGGUUGAUGAGGGAGGAAUACACAGAUUGAAUGCAUGCACUCAACACACACACACAAAAAUGAGCAUCAAAUUUAAAAUAUCUUUUUUUUUCUCUUUAAAUCAUUUUGCCAUUCUCCAGGGUAUAUCCUACGGGGAAGGGUAGGGGACCCAUGGCCAGCCCUGGCUCCUACUGCCAUCCUCCCAAGUGAACUUAGCACAGAGACUGGGGAGGGGUUGACCCCCACUCCAGAACACCAAUACCUCUUUCAAACAUGACAGUGGAGUGAGGAUCAGAGGAUCAGCCCCCUCCCGUUUCCUGGCACAGAGGAAGGACAGUUACACUUAGAAAUAUAUAUAUAAUAUAUAUAUAUUUAUAUAUGUCUAUAAAAAUUUAUCACACUUGAUCAGGACUAUCCCCCUACCCUUUCACUUGACCCCAAGGGAAUAGGGUCCUGCCCUGGGCCCAUUCCCUGGGUCUUGCUCUCUUGUUGCCUCUCUGGCCCUGAGCCUGAUCAGUGUGAGACAGAACUCAGCAUUACUGUCCACCAUGCCCUGCAGCGAACAGACCAGGUGCUGAAGAGUGAUGCCUAUGGGCUCUGACACCCACAAAUCCUCGUGGAUAACGGGAAGCCCCUCCCACCCCACAAGUCCCUGGAGCCUGAGCCAGAGUCAGAUCCUGUACUGCAGCCACUCGAAUCGCCAAAUCAUUUGCGCCUGCCAAAGAUGGACUUCUUGCCAGGGUUCUUGUCGCCCACACUUAAACCAAUGAGGAGCCGGGCUUUCUCCUCCUCUUCCUGCUGUUGCAUGUUCAGGUCCGAUUUAGUUUCUAGCUUUCCCCGGACCUCAGAGCCUGUUGCAGACUUCAGCCUUAGCUUCUCUUUGAUUACCUGGGCAACCAGGGCUUUGCGGCUGUCCCUUUUGACAGCCAUGGCAAAGUCUAGCCAUGUCCAUGUGUUGUUGUGGUACUCCAGACAGGGCAGCACCAGGUUAAGGUCACCCCAGUCCACACUGUUCUUCUCACCCUUGUAGCUGACACACAGUGGAACCUGUGGAAUCUUUAUGUAGAUGAAGGAGUUGUUCAUGGCAGCUCGCUCUUUCAUCUUGUCAAUGUCAUCCACAGGGUGCUCUGGCGAUUUGCGAAAUGACCUUCUGACCCCAGAACUCCGAGUCAAACCCUGUGCCACACCCUUCCCAGGGCCCAGUGGUACUGCAUCAUCUGUUGCAAUCAGCUGCCGAGGCUUCACCACUGGUAUUCCAGUAGUCACCAGUUUGGACUUAUCCUCUUCAUCACCAACUUCAUCAUCUUCCACACUUCGGCCAGGAAAGAAAAAGCCCAUCAUUCUGUGGAAGAACUGGUGUGUCAGCUGGAUGGUGAGAGGCACCACAUUUACCUCAAAAUGCUCCUUAACAGAGAUACCCCCAACAGGGGGCCGAACUUUGCUGAAGAGGCGGAGAGCUAGCUGUCGCCCAGACUGGCAGGAGCUCUGGGGCCGCAGUACUACCUUAUAGACAGCAUUGGGGAGGAGGUUGUUCAUGGUAAACCAGCCCAACUCCAGAAGAUGUUCUGCUGUGUCAUCAGACUUAUUCACCUAUAAAGACAGAUUUUGCCCCAUCUACUAUAAUAAACCUUUCUCAGAAGUCUACUAG
rnacentral:lncRNA from 1 species